UUACAGAUAUAAAACCACCCACAUAACUAAUUGGAUCCAUUCCUGUCUCUAGACGCUUUGUGCUCUGGUAGUGUCUCUUGCCUAUUUUGAUGAUUUAUAUCAAAACUAAGGAGUCUACAGUUGCUUUGCUGUUCUAUGCACCUUUAGCAUUGGAUAAAGAUGUAGAUAACUGAUCUUCUACAUUUAUAAUCAUUAAUCAAGAACUGUUCUUGUUUCAGGCGCUUGUUUCCACUGUAAGGAUUAAAAAUGGCUGACACAAAAAUCAUAUUAAAUUCUAUAACUUGUGAAAUAGAGCUAAUGCAAUCACAGUUACAAGGUAGCUUAUUAUAGAUGCCUGUUAUUCUGCAGAAGUUUCAUUGCUCUAGGAGGAAGCAGAACGUUUUUCUAAGAAAUAAAAGGUAUCCUGAGCUUUCAUGAUGGCCACAAUUUUGAUUCAUGUUUGUACUCAUUUGAACUGUGUUAAGCACCUGGUUGGCUAUUUUGGCAUUAUAGAUCAAGGUUAUUGUGAGGAUAUAGACAUUGAUUCCAAUUAUUUUCUUCCUGGCUAUUUUUAUAAUAAAUUUUAAUCAAUUUAAUUACACUUAACAAUUAAAAAAAUUGUAACUUCAGUAUUCUUUGGAUUGUAAUUAUGCUUGUAAUUAUGCACUAGAGGCCAGGGGCUUUAUUUAAGGAUUUACUGUAACUAGUCUUUGUUUAUGGAAGCAUUAGUUCAAGUGUUCCUAAUCUUUUGCCAUCAAAAUCAAUACUACAUCACAAA